UAUUAGAUUCACAAUAUUUGCUGGCAAUUAUCACUCCACCACCAUGUAAAAUUUUUGCUGACAACAUAGGGACUGAAUUUCGGAUAAUAGAGAAACCUGAAAUGGUUUUAAAUGUACAUGUCAAUAAUUGAAGAAAGGUCAUUCAGUACUAGUUGUUUUGAUUACAAUUGGAAUAAAAACCCAAAUGCAAUUGGAAGAUGAUUAAUAACUUUACACAACAAUCUUUUAAUACAAGUUCAUCAUGUCUGGCA